GAGUUUGAUCGUGGCUCAGGAUGAACGCCGGCGGUGUGCCUAAUACAUGCAAGUCGUACGCACUGGCCCAACUGAUUGAUGGUGCUUGCACCUGAUUGACGAUGGAUCACCAGUGAGUGGCGGACGGGUGAGUAACACGUAGGUAACCUGCCCCGGAGCGGGGGAUAACAUUUGGAAUCAGAUGCUAAUACCGCAUAACAACAAAGGCCACAUGGCUUUUGUUUGAAAGAUGGCUUUGGCCAUCACUCUGGGAUGGACCUGCGGUGCAUUAGCUAGUUGGUAAGGUAACGGCUUACCAAGGCGAUGAUGCAUAGCCGAGUUGAGAGACUGAUCGGCCACAAUGGAACUGAGACACGGUCCAUACUCCUACGGGAGGCAGCAGUAGGGAAUCUUCCACAAUGGGCGCAAGCCUGAUGGAGCAACACCGCGUGAGUGAAGAAGGGCUUCGGCUCGUAAAGCUCUGUUGUUGGAGAAGAACGUGCGUGAG
rnacentral:rRNA from 1 species